rnacentral:rRNA from 1 species
UAGCGGAGCGUGUGGUUUAAUUCGAUAUUACACGAAGAACCUUACCAGGGUUUGACAUGCAUGUGGUAGAGAAGCGAAAGUGGAUCGACCCUUCGGGGAGCAUGCGCAGGUGUUGCAUGGCUGUCGUCAGCUCGUGUCGUGAGAUGUUCGGUUAAGUCCGCUAACGAGCGCAACCCCUGCCGUGUGUUACAUGUGUCACACGGGACUGCCAGUCUUAAGCUGGAGGAAGGUGGGGAUGACGUCAAGUCAGCAUGACCUUUAUGUCCUGGGCUACACACACGCUACAAUGGGUAGUACAACGGGUAGCGAAGCCGCGAGGCGGAGCCAAUCCACAAAGCUAUCCUCAGUUCAGAUUGCAGGCUGCAACCCGCCUGCAUGAAGAUGGAGUUGCUAGUAACCGCAUAA